rnacentral:rRNA from 1 species
UACGUAGGUGGCAAGCGUUGUCCGGAAUUAUUGGGCGUAAAGAGCUCGUAGGCGGCUUGUCGCGUCGACUGUGAAAACUCGGGGCUCAACUCCGAGCUUGCAGUCGAUACGGGCAGGCUAGAGUUCGGUAGGGGAGACUGGAAUUCCUGGUGUAGCGGUGAAAUGCGCAGAUAUCAGGAGGAACACCGGUGGCGAAGGCGGGUCUCUGGGCCGAUACUGACGCUGAGGAGCGAAAGCGUGGGGAGCGAACAGG